ACGAAAGUCUGAUGGAGCAAUACCAUGUGAACGAUGAAGGCCUUUUUGGUUGUAAAGUUCUUUUACGAGGGAUAAUUAUGAUAGUACUUCGUGAAUAAGUGACAGCAAACUAUGUGCCAGCAGCUGCGGUAAUACAUAGGUCGCGAGCAUUAUUCGGAUUUAUUGGGCGU
rnacentral:rRNA from 1 species